AAGAAAUCCUGUUGUCGUUGACUACUGUGCCAAGUCAAUGCUGUCGUGAUGAGUCACCACCGAAAUCCCCAAAAGAUCUUAAGUCACAACGUGUCCGACGAACUGAUUGCAUAUGGCAUCACCCAAGUCGGAGAUCAAAGUUCAAGUACUUGAUAGAUCAGCCCAUUUCACUGGCUCGAGCAGGAAGGGAUAUCUCCUUUCUAUGUGAUGCUGUAUAUACCAAAUGUCCCGUUAACGUGAUGCCUGUUGCAUUGGCAGCUACGGAUAAAAGUGCUGUUCGG